UAGAAGUUCUUGCCCGCCCGGUUGAUGACCAUCUCCUUCUGUUCUCUUCUCUUCCAGACACAACUCAGAUGAACAACGCAGUGCCCACCUCCCCUUUGCUCCAGCAGAUGGGCCACCCGCAUUCCUAUCCCAGCCUGGGCCAGAUCUCCAACCCUUACGAACAGCAGCCGCCCGGCAAAGAGCUCAACAAGUACGCCUCCUUGAAGGCAGUCGGAAGUUCUGAGGGUGACUGGACAGUGGCGACACUUAAGUCACCGAAAGCUGACAAGGUAAACGAUGACUUCUACUCCAAGCGACGGCACCUGGCUGAGCUGGCUGCCAAGGGGAACUUACCUCUGCAUCCUGUAAGAGUGGAGGAUGAGCCACGGGCUUUCAGCCCUGAGCACGGCCCUGCCAAGCAGAAUGGACAGAAGUCCCGCACCAACAAGACGCCCCCCCACCCCCUGGCCUACAACUCCACUGCCAACUUUAAGAGCUGGGACCCCAAGGAUCAGUCUCUCCGGCGGCAACAGGCUUAUGGGAACAAGGGCAAGCUUGGCACGGCUGAGUCAGGCUCCAGCGACCCCUUGGGAACUCGCACCCCGCACUACCCACCCCCACAGCCAUACUUCAUCACCAACAGCAAAACGGAAGUGACUGUCUGAGCUGUCGCCACAGGGGACAUCCUGGAGACCACACUCAACUGAGAGAGGCAAAAAAAUACCCCAGCCCACGUCUUCCCUGUCCCCCGCCAGCACACCCACCUACACACUCAUCCUCCACAGCAAUUGAUGAUAAACCUCCUGGUGACAUGGAAUCGUGCUUUUCCUUUGUCCUGCCUAACGUGUGUCGGCAGGCAGCCGAGCAAGACUGGAGCGUGGAUGGUCCAUGGUACAGCCAAGGGGGAAUGGAGACACCCUCUUUCAACUUCAGGGCUGAGGUGGCCGACUCACACGCCCAAACCAUGGGGCUGAUUUUUUCUUUUCCUCCUAACUUGAAACUGAAAUCCAUGAUGGGAAAAAAAAAAAAAAAAAAAGGUAGCACAAUUUAGAGAAAUUGUCCAGUUGAGCACAUAUACCAUUUACCACAUGUUGUCUGUUUCUGGGUGAAAAAGUGAGAAAAGGGUGGAAAGGGUGGGGUAGAGAAAAGGGGUUGUGCGUGCCUGUGAUAAGCAUUUCCUAAUCCCAGGAAGCGGUGGUAUGGACACAGAACUUUGCUAAGCAUGAGGUAGUAACUGGACCCCACCACCACCACCAUGCUUUUAGUACUUUUCAUAUCAUCAAGGUUGGAAGCAAAAACAACAUACAGUCAAACUCACAAAAAAUAAGCAGAUCCUGAACCCACCUACAGUGAUGGGAAAGAGAGGCCAUUUUUAGACAACUCCCAUAAAGACCGUGGAAAUGGAAGGGGUAGGCUUGUAUGGCAGGAAGAGGGUCCAGAGAGUCUUCAACAACUAUUUUUUAAAAAAGAAAAGUACAAUAGAAUCCCACUACCAAACAGACAAGAACAGCAAAGUAAUUUUUGUCCAAUAUUUUCAAGACCUAGGAAAUCAACAACGUCAUCAAGAACAAACAAAAUUCACAGUUGAGAUGUCAACGAGAGGCCGGAAGGGGACACGGAGCCUGUGACUUCUGGCAUUCCCCCCUAGCCUCUGAGACAAGAAACAGACACAAAACCCAGUCCUCUGUCAACUGUCUAUCCCUGACUCCCUUCCCUUUCAGCCUGUUGCUGCCGCCGCCGCCGCUGCCAAAUUUCAACUGCUUUGGACUGAAAAUGUCAUAAGCGUGGGUGGUGCCUUCAAUGUGUCACUGUUGAAUGACAGUCUUGUUUCCCAAAUGCAACCUGUGUUCUUUUACCUUCCUCCCUCCUGUCUUUCUGCAGUAGUAGAAGCUGUUUCCAUCCUCCUUAUGUUGGUGAGCCCACCCCACCACACACUCUGAGGGGGCUGUUGCAACUUGCAAAGACCAAGACCUCCUUACCACCCACACCCUCAAAAUUCCAUGAGUCCCAUGAUCUUUUAGCUCCCCAAGCAUUUCUGGGUCCCACGGUCCCUCCAAACCACCUCCCCAGGUACUGUGGUACAUUCAUCCCCCAUUCAUGAUCCCCCAAGGUGGGUGUUCAGAUUGGUUCUCGUAGCUAAAGGAUGUCCCAACAAAGACAGUUUUCCUACUAGUUUGAUUUGCUUGGUGGUGGUGGUUUAGUCAUUAAGCCACGUCCGACUCUCACCACCCCAUGGACUGUAGCCUGCCAGGUUACAUCCAUGGAUUUUCCCAGGCAAGAAUAUGGAGUGGGUUGCCAUUUCCUUCUCCAGGAGAUCUUCCCCACCCAGGGAUCAAACUUGCAUUUCCCGCAUUGGCAGGCAGAUUCUUUACCACUGACCAUGAAGGAAGUUUAGUGGAAGUCCAAAGAGGGGAACUGACAGAGAAGAGAUUUGCAUUUAAGGUGAGAAGUUUUCAAUUUGUCCCUCAAGGGUUUGGCUAAUUAACAGGAGCCUCUGAGAGACCCCAAGGUCUUCUGUUGUCAGAAGCUCAAUGUGGUUUGGUCCAAGACCCUUCCUGGAAUGCUGGACUUCAGCCUCCUCAUCUCUGCACUCUGACGUCAUGGGAUCAGGGAAACCAGCUGUUUAUUCCUUAGUCCCGGCUGAUCUGGGGAUGUGCACCAUGCAUGUCAUCCCUCUGGGCUUUAGUCUUCCAUUGCUACAUGGGGAAUUGGGGAGAGAUCAAGAUUUUCAAGAUUUCUGAAAAUGAAAAUGAAAAAAUGAAAUCGUGCCCAGAAGACCUCCUGUUGGAUCCCUGUGCAGACCGAGGCUCUGUGCUAGAUGAAGCAGGGAUGGGGGUUUCAGUGCGUUUUCUCAGCCCCUUGGCUGAAAUCCCAGUGCUCCCUACUGUAGAGUAAACACCAUGGGGCUUGGUCAAUGUCUCAUUGAUGUUAGUUAUCUGUGUACUUGCAACACACUUUUGGCAUGUCUGUGUGUUCCUGUCACAAUACUUGUACCUAAAUUGAUGCGUUUUUUGUAACACUUUAAAUGACCACGUAAACAGCAUUGUCAUGCACCUAAAAAAGAAACAGCCAGAAAACAGCACUGAUACUUAAGAGGAAAAGAGAUCAGCGUUUGUUAAACAUGUACACAGCAACCAUCUAGCAUUAAAUACACAGAACUCCAAGACAUUUCUGACAAAGCAAGGCCUCAGACUCAUUUCUUUCCAAGUGGGAAUGGAGGGAAAUGCAUAGUUAUUUAUAAUAUGAGGGCCAUUUUUCAUGCAUAUGGUAUUUUCUAUGUCUUAUGGGUUUUCAUUAUUGGUGUUCUAACUUCAAUAAAUAAGUUAUUUGAAGUCAGAUUUAGAAAAUAUUAGACCUUCCCUGGUAAUCUUCGGUGACAUUUAUUUAGUAUAUGGCUCUAUGUGUCCUAAGUCUAGUGGCUUUGAAUUAAGAAUGUAUAAAAAGUGCUGGUGUUAGAGUCAGUGGAGCAGGAAGUGUUAUUUGCUACCAUUACCCUGGAGACCUGCUUAAUUUCAGUGAUAAAUUGGUGCAUUUUAAAUACAUUUACCUUCUGAAAGGAAAACUUCCUGCCAGUAUCAUAAAUAGAAAACCAGUAUUCCUCAGUGGCAGCCAUCCUAAACAGGAAGUAAGUGUAAAAUUAUUAAGUUCUAAUUACAGACUAUCGCCCAUGGAAGGGUUUGAGCCUGGCCUUUGCUGUCCCCUUUUCUUCCUUCUUUCCCUCCUCUCUUUCUCUCCGCUUUUCUUUAUUGUUAUUGUUGUUUUUCAGUCACUUAGUCGUGUCUGACUCUUUGCGACUCCGUGGACUGUAGCCCGCCAGGCUCCUCUGUCUGUGGGAUUUCCCAGGCAAGCAUACUGAAGUGGGUUGCCAUUUCCUUCUCCACGGGAUCUUCCUGAUCCAGGGAUCAAACCCGCUUUUCCUGCUGGCAAGCGGACUCUUUACCACUGAGCCAUCAGGGAAGCCCUUUUCUUUAUUAAACAGAUUAGCAGACAUUCAAGAGUUGCUGAAGAUAUUCUAGCCCCCAAUGGAGACUUUCUCUUUGAAGUAAUCAAAUGGACUGACGAAAGUGAAAAGGGAAUCAUUUCCCACGUGACAAUGUUAAUUAGUGCCCUAUGCAUGUACUACUUAAAUUUGGCUUGCAUUUGCUAGUGGUACACAGCACAUACUUAAGGAAAUAUGGGAUUGGCUCAUUUGGUGAGGUUUCCUUCAGCUCAAAAGUUCUCUCCUUCUAGUCUCCCAUUGAGCUGGUUUCUCUGCUCCCUGCCCUCAAUCCCUUUCAUGUGACCUUUACCCCAGCCCUGAUUAAGGACCUUUCUUGGUCUCUGAAUCUACAGGGUGUAUUCUUCGUGUUCCUUCUCUUCCCAGUAAACUGCCUCCAGUGAAUUUUGUUAGUUGGGAGUCUGCAGCUAUAAUUUUGGCAGUGAAGUUGCAGCAUGGUCCGUAAGAAGUAGCAGUGGUGAGAAUCCAAGAACAGUAUUGGGUUGGCCAAAAUUUUCCUUUGGGUUUUUCCCUGAGGUGUUACAAACUUUGUGACAAGCCCAAUCCUUAGCCUUGUUACCUUCCUCUUGGCUGUGGGAGCUGAACUCACGUGGGGGCAGUGAGGAAGUUUCGACAGGGAAGUUUGUGUUUUGGCUUCUUCUAGGGAGAGUGGACAGACCUUUUGAUACUGAGAGAUUACCCUGAUGGGUGACCUGUAGAACUAUGAUGGCCAUGGCUAUGAUGGCAAGGCUCCUCCAGCUAAAAUGGGCAGAUUCAGAAGACAGAAACCGGAACAAGGCAGGGAGACUGCCUUCUCAUCCCAUGCCCUGGCACUUGCCUCUACGUACUCUUAGCUCCUCCCCCCACUUCCAACCCAAUGGGACCAGAAUCUGACCACUCUUUGCCCUCCCAGAAUAUCUCAUCCUUCAUCUGCCUUGGGCUCCACCUGGCAUCCCCAUCUAACUCUCCCCAGGUUUUUUUUUUGUGUGUGUGUGUAAAUGGAGCAUAUUUUAUGUGCAAAUAUUUUAGUAACCGUAUGUUCUGCAAGUAAACCUGUGUUAAUACUUGUCAACAACUGCAGAGUUUAUGAUACCAAUAAUACUUCCUACAAUGAUUAAAAAAACAUUUGUUUGUUUUCUAAGAAUGUUUAUUUGUAAACAUAUGUAUUCACUAUAUUAAUAUGAAUUUCUUACCUGGCAAUAAAAUUGAUUAUAUGUGAUGCUGUUG
ensembl:lincRNA